rnacentral:pre_miRNA from 1 species
UCUUAUGGCUGAGCAAAGAAAGUGGUUUCUUGAGAUGGAAUCUAUUCCCGGUGAGGAUACUAUGAA